GCCCUAGCGGCGAACGGGUGAGUAACACGUGGGCAACCUGCCCUCAGCUCUGGGAUAACUCCAAGAAAUUGGUGCUAAUACCGGAUGUGACCGCUGACCGCAUGGUCUGGUGGUGGAAAGAUUCAUCGGCUGAGGAUGGGCCCGCGGCCUAUCAGCUUGUUGGUGGGGUCACGGCCCACCAAGGCGACGACGGGUAGCCGGCCUGAGAGGGUGACCGGCCACACUGGGACUGAGACACGGCCCAGACUCCUACGGGAGGCAGCAGUGGGGAAUAUUGCGCAAUGGGCGAAAGCCUGACGCAGCGACGCCGCGUGAGGGAUGACGGCCUUCGGGUUGUAAACCUCUUUCAGUAGGGACGAAGCGAGAGUGACGGUACCUACAGAAGAAGCACCGGCCAACUACGUGCCAGCAGCCGCGGUAAUACGUAGGGUGCAAGCGUUGUCCGGAAUUAUUGGGCGUAAAGAGCUCGUAGGCGGUCUGUCGCGUCGGCUGUGAAAACCCGAGGCUCAACCUCGGGCCUG
rnacentral:rRNA from 1 species